rnacentral:rRNA from 1 species
AGUGGUAGCGGAGCGUUCCGUAAGCCAGCGAAGGGACAGCCGUGAGGCAUCCUGGAGGUAUCGGAAGUGCGAAUGCUGACAUGAGUAACGACAAACAGAGUGAAAGACUCUGUCGCCGAAAGUCCAAGGGUUCCUACGUAAAGUUAAUCUGCGUAGGGUUAGCCGGCCCCUAAGGCGAGGCCGAAAGGCGUAGUCGAUGGGAACCACGUUAAUAUUCGUGGGCCCCGGGUGGUGACGGAUCUCGAAAGUUGUUCGACCUUACUGGAUUGGUCGGGCAACCUGGAGGUUCCAGGAAAUAGCCCCCGCAUGAGACCGUACCCGAAACCGACACAGGUGGACUGGUAGAGUAUACCAAGGCGCUUGAGAGAAUGACGCUGAAGGAACUCGGCAAUUUACCUCCGUAACUUCGGGAUAAGGAGGCCUUCCCGUCGGGCAACCGGCGGGGAGGGGCACAGACCAGGGGGUGGCGACUGUUUAGCAAAAACACAGGGCUCUGCGAAAUCGCAAGAUGACGUAUAGGGUCUGACGCCUGCCCGGUGCCGGAAGGUUAAGAGGAGAGGUUCACGCCUUGAAUCGAAGCCCCGGUAAACGGCGGCCGUAACAAUAACGGUCCUAAGGUAGCGAAAUUCCUUGUCGGGUAAGUUCCGACCUGCACGAAUGGCGUAACGACUUCCCCGCUGUCUCCAGCGUCAGCUCAGUGAAAUUGAAUUCCCCGUGAAGAUGCGGGGUUCCUGCGGUCAGACGGAAAGACCCCGUGCACCUUUACUGUAGCUUUGCACUGGCAUUCGUGUCGGCAUGUGUAGGAUAGGUGGUAGGCUAUGAAGCGCGGGCGCCAGCUCGUGUAGCCGUCCUUGAAAUACCACCCUUAUCGUCAUGGAUGUCUAACCGCGUUCCCUCAUCGGGGACCGGGACAGGGCAUGGCAGGCAGUUUGACUGGGGCGGUCGCCUCCCAAAGAGUAACGGAGGCGCGCGAUGGUGGGCUCAGACCGGUCGGAAAUCGGUCGUCGAGUGCAAUGGCAUAAGCCUGCCUGACUGCGAGACCAACAAGUCUAGCAGAGACGAAAGUCGGUCAUAGUGAUCCGGUGGUCCCGAGUGGGUGGGCCAUCGCUCAACGGAUAAAAGGUACGCCGGGGAUAACAGGCUGAUACUGCCCAAGAGUCCAUAUCGACGGCAGUGUUUGGCACCUCGAUGUCGGCUCAUCACAUCCUGGGGCUGGAGAAGGUCCCAAGGGUUCGGCUGUUCGCCGAUUAAAGUGGUACGUGAGCUGGGUUCAAAACGUCGUGAGACAGAUUGGUCCCUAUCUGCCGUGGGCGUAGGAGAAUUGAGAGGAUUUGACCCUAGUACGAGAGGACCGGGUUGAACACACCUCUGGUGGACCUGUUGUGGCGCCAGCCGCAGUGCAGGGUAGCUAUGUGUGGACGGGAUAACCGCUGAAUGCAUCUAAGCGGGAAACCCACCUCAAGACGAGUUCUCCCUGAAGAGCCGUGGAAGACCACCACGUCGAUAGGCCGGAUGUGGAAGCGGGGUGACCCGUGCAGCUUACCGGUACUAAUAGCUCUAAA